GGACCGUCCACACCAGGCGGUGACUGGUUGCAGAGAGGCGGGGCGACUCGACUGCUGGAGAAGUAGCCGCAGCUGUGAGGAGAGCCAUGAGUCAGGCGGCCAAGGUUUUACAGCUCUUUAAAACACUGCACAGGACCAGACAACAAGUUUUUAAAAAUGAUGCUAGGGCAUUAGAAGCAGCCAGAAUAAAGAUAAAUGAAGAAUUCAAAUGUAAUAAAAGUGAAACUUCUCCUAAGAAAAUAGAAGAGCUAAUAAAAAUAGGUUCUGAUGUUGAGCUGAUACUCAGAACAUCUGUUAUACAAGGUAUUCACACAGACCACAAUACGCUGAAAUUGGUCCCUAGGAAAGACCUUCUUAUAGAAAAUGUGCCGUAUUGUGAUGCACCAACUCAGAAGCAAUGAAUUUUUCUCGAAUAAAAUUAAAUCUUCAUCAUUUUUAAUUUUAACGUAUAUAACUCUGGCUAAACUCCUGGAAAUGCAAAUAUUUUUCUCUGAAAUGGCAUAUUGAAAUUGAGUGCAUUAAAUUAUAGUUUCAUAAUUAAGUUUCACGUUGAAAGAACAUUGCUGAAAACUGCAGAACAUAGUUAAAUAUUUCUAAAGAACAUUAGGUAAGAGAUGAUAGUGGCUUAUACCAGAGUGGCAGCAGUGAUGGUGGUGAGAAGUGGCAAAAUUAUGGGUAUAUUUUGAUACAGCUCCUGGGUUUCCUGAUGGAUUGAAUCUAAGGUAAGAGGAAAAGAAAAGAGUCAGGGAUGAUUCCCAAGGGUUUUGGCCUGUGCCGGUGGAAGGAUAUUGUUGCCGUCAAUUGUACUGGUGAAAACAGACUAGAUUUGUGAAAAAAGAUCAGGCAUUUCGUUUUGGGCAUGUAUUAAUUGAAAUAUCUAGAAGGUAUCCAAGUGGAGAUGUUAAUAAGACACUGGACUAAGAUCUGAAGUUCAGGAAGUGGUCUGGGCUGGAGAUAUAAAUUUGGGAGCCAUUAAUAUAGAUAAAAUACUUACAGUCAUGACAUUGGAUGAAAUCACUAAGCAAUUGACAUAGAGAAGAAGAAAAGUCCAUGAUUGAGUCUUUUGUGGCACUCCAAUGUUAAAAGUUAAAGAGAUAAGAAACAACAAGCACAAGAGACAAAGAAGUUUCUGAAAACAAGGAGAAUGUAGAAGAGAAGUUGGCAAACUGUGGCUCACAGGGGCCAAAUCUGACCCACUGUCUUUUUUUGUAAAUAAACUUUUAUUGGAACACUACCACACUUAUUCAUUUACAUAUUCUCUAUGGCUGCUUUCAUACUACGGUGGCAUAGUUGAGUAAUUUCAACAAACUGUAUUAUCCACAAAGCCCAAAAUCGUUAUCUGGCCCCCUUGCAGAAAAAGCUUGUUGACCCCUGGUGUGUAGAGUCUUAGAAGCCAAAUAAAAAAAGUGUUUCAUUGCGAGGGAGUGACUGCAUUGCGAUCAUAAUUAAAAAUUCCACUAGGAAGGGCAACAUGGAGCUGACUUUGGUGACUUUGGCAAGACAGUUUCAGUGAAAUAAUUGGAGAAACAUACUCUUGUUGAUUAUUCCCAGAUUGAUGUUUAAAUUUGUUGUAAUCACAGUUAAAAUUGCAGUAGGAUUUUUAUAAGGAACUGAUAAAACUUACUCAAAAAUUUAUGAGGAAUAAUAAAAGUCCUUAAAUAGCUAAAUCAGCUAUGACAAAAGAAUAAAAUUAGAUAUCGAUAUGCAAAAAAAUGGAACUUUGGUCUGUGCUUGACACCGUAUACAACAAUUAUCUCAAAAUCAAUCAUAGAUCUAAAUACAAAGCCUCAAACUGUAAAACUUCUUGAAGUAGCAGGAGAAAAUCUUUGUGACUUUGGGUUAGACAAAGAUUUCUAAGAUAUGACACCAAAAGCACAAUACAUACAAGAAAAAAUUAAUAAACUGGACUUUGUCAAAAUUAAAAACCUUUGCCCUGUAAAAGACAAUUGUUAAGAGAAUGAGAAGAUAAGGCACAGAUGGGGAGAAAAUAUUAAAAAUCAUAAACUGAUUAAAAAAAAACUUGUUAUCCAGAAAAUAUAAAAGACUUUUAAUAAGAAAACAAAAAACAAUUUUUUAAUAUUUGAGUAGAUACUUUUUCAAAAAAUAUAUAAAUGGAAAAACUAUAUAUGUACAAAUGGAAAAUAAGCACAUAAAAAGAUCUCAACAUCAUUAGUCAUUACAAAUUAAAAUCAUAAUGAGAUACUACUACAUACCUAUUAUGAUAGCUAAAAUUAGAAUGACUGAACAUACCAAGUCUUGGCAAGGAUGUAAAGGAACUGAAAUCCUCAUUCAUUACUGAGAGAAAUGUAAAAUGGCAGGACAACUUUGGAAAACUAUUCAGCCAUUUCUUACAAAGUUAAACAUAUACUUCCUUUAUAAUCCAGACUUCCUGCUCCUAGGUAUUUACCUAAGGGAAGUGAAAGCACAAAGACUUACAUGUUUAUAUUACACAGCAAAAGAAAUCAUCAACAAAAUGAAAAGGCAACUUCCAGACAGAAAAUAUUUGCAAAUAAUAUAUCUGAUAAGGAGUUAAUAUCCAAAUUAUAUAAAGAACUCAUAUAACUGAAUAGCAAAAAAAAAUCUAAUUUUAAAAUGGGCAGAGGAUCUGAAUAGACAUUUUUCCAAAGAAGACAUUCAGAUGGCCAACAGGUACAUGAAAAGAUGUUUUUUUUUUUUUGGCCACGCCACACAGCUUGUGGGAUCAUAGUUCCCCAACCAGGGAUCAAACCCGAGCCCUCAGCUGUGAAAGCACGGGGUCCUAACCAUUGGACCACCAGGGAAUUACCGAAAAGAUGUUCAGCAUCACUAAUCAUCAGGGUAAUGCAAAUCAAAACCACAGUGAGCUAUCAUCUCACACCUGUUAGAAUGGCUAUUAGCAAAAAGACAAGAAAUAGCAAGUGUUGGCAAGCAUAUGGAGAAAAUGGAGCUCUUGUUCACUGGUAGUGGGAAUGUAAAUUGGUGGAGCCACUAUGGAAAACAGUAUGGAGGUUCCUCAAAAAAUUAAAAAUAGUACAACUGUGUGACCCACCUACUCCACUUCUGGGUAUUUAUCUGAAGAACAUGAGAACACUAAUUUGAAAAGGUAUAUGCACCCCUGUGUUCACUGCACCAUUAUUUAUAAUAGCCAAGAUAUGGAAACAACCUAAGUGUCCAUCAGUGGGUGAAUGGAUAAAGAUGUGACAUAUAUACACAAUGGAAUACUACUUAGCCAUAGAAAAGAAUGAAAUCCUGCCAUUUGAACAACAUGGAUGGACCUUGAAGGUAUUAUGCUAAUUGAAGUAAGACAAAUGGAGAAAGACAAAACACUUAUGAUUUCACUCAUAUGUGGAACCUUAAACAAAAUAAAACAAAAACAAACUCAUAGAUACAGAGAUUAGAUUAGUGGUUGCCAGAGGGGGAGGGGUUGCCAGUGGGUGAAAUGGUGAACAGGCCAACUGUAUGGUGAUGGAUGGUAACCAAAUUUGUGGUAGUGCUCACUUUGUAGUAUAUACAGAUACAGCAUUAAAGUAUAAUGUUGAAGUGUAUAUAAUUUUUAAAAAAUAGGCCUACCAUGUCAUCCAGCAGUUCUCCUUCUGGGUGUUUAUCUGAAGGAAAUGAAAAUGCUAACUGGAAAAAAUAUAUGCACCCCUAUGUUCAUUGCAGCAUUAUUUACCAUAGCCAAGACAUGGAAGCAACCUAAGUGUCUUUUAAUGAAUGACUGGAUAAGGAAAAUGUUGUAUGUGUCUGUAUAUAUGUAUAUGUGUGUGUAUGCAUUUAAUACAGUGCAAUAUCAUUCAGCCAUAAAAAAAGAAGGAAAUCUUGCCGUUUAUGACAACAUAGGUGGACCUUGUCUUCUAAGUCAAAUGGAGAAAGACAGAUAAUGGAUGCUCUCACUUAGACAUGAAAUCUAAGAAGGAAACAAAACAAACAAAAAACCCAAACUCAUAGUACUGGGUGUUUGCUGAAGGCAGGGUUUGAGGGGUGGGAGAAAUGGGUGAAGGGAAUCAAAAGGUACAAACUUCCAGUUGUAAAAUAAAUAAACCAUGGGUUUGUAAUGUACAGCAUGGUGACUAUAGUUAAUAAUAUUGUAUUAUGUAUUUGAAAGUUGCUAAGAGAACAUAUCUUAAAAGUUCUCAUCACAAGAAUAAAAGAUUUGCAGCUGUGUGUAGACUUAAUGUGGUGAUCAUUUGGCAAUAUAUACAAACAUUGAAUCAUUAUGUUGUGUGCGUGAUACUGGGAUAAUGUUGAAUGUCAAUUACAUCUCAAUUUUUUAAAAAAGACUUAGUUAUAGCAGCCUUAUUUGUAAUGGUCCCAAACUGGAAACAACCCAAAUAUCCAUCAGCAGAUGAAGGAAUAACCAAAUUAUAUGUCUGUACAAUGGAAUACUUCUCAUGAAUAAAAAGAAAUGAACUAUUGCUGCAAACAACAACAUAGAUGCAUCUCAAGGUACUUAUCCUGAGUGAAAGAAACCAGACAAAAACAAGUACAUAUUUUAUGAUUCCUUUUCUAUAAAGUUCUAGAAAACACAAAUUAAUUCAUAGUGACUGAAAGCAGAUCAGUAGUUGCCAGGGGAUGAGAGCAGGGAGAUGGGUGGAGGGAGAGACUGAAAAGGUACAUGAGGAAAUUUUAAAGGGUGAUGGAUAUUUUCAUUAUCCUGAUUGUGGUGAUGGUUUCAUGGGUGUAUGUACAUUUUUAAUGUG